CCAAAGACAUAGCCCUGCAAUACCUUUGCGAGGUGAAGCCUGCCCAAUGGCUGUGAAUAAUUUACCCAAAACCAGCUCAAUGGCCGCGGUAACUCUGACCGUGAUAAAGUAGCAUAAUCACUUGUCACUUAAUUGGUGACUGGAAUGAAUGGCUAAACGAAUCUUCAGCUGUCUCUGAGGGAAAUCCGGUAAAUUUGAAAUGAUAGUGAGGAUGCUAUCAAAUAAUUGUAAGACGAAAAGACCCUAUCGAGCUUUACUGAAACUUUAUAUGCAAAUAUGUUGAUUAUUCUCAGAAACUAGCAAGAAAUAUAUGGUUGACAGUUUGGUUGGGGCGACCACCUCCAAAAACGUAUCGGAGGAAUUCUAAAGGUCACAAUGAUAUGAAAAGUAGCCUUACUGGAGACAAACAGGUCAAUCAGUCAUUAAUCGUGGGACAUACUGACCCGUUAUUUCAUUCGUUAUAAAUAACGACUAUGAAAAAAGUUACCGUAGGGAUAACAGGGUAAUAUUUUCGAAGAGUUCAUAUCGAUGAAAAUGUUUGCCACCUCGAUGUUGAAUUAUGAUAUCCCGAGGGUGCAGAAGCUCUCAAGGGUUGGUCUGUUCGACCAUUAAAAUCAUACAUGAUUUGAGUUCAUUCCGUCGCAAGACAGGAAGG
rnacentral:rRNA from 1 species